CGUUCAUCCAGAGGGGGACGAGGGACCGGCCCUGUGACUCCCCGGCAACCGGCUGACAGCCAGACACGGUGCCACUUCCGGCUUCGGGCGAAAGUCGCCCGAGGACAGAUGAUGC
rnacentral:ncRNA from 2 species